CCUUAGAGUUUGAUCCUGGCUCAGGAUGAACGCUAGCUACAGGCUUAACACAUGCAAGUCGAGGGGCAGCGGGAUUGAAGCUUGCUUCAAUUGCCGGCGACCGGCGCACGGGUGAGUAACGCGUAUCCAACCUUCCGUACACUCAGGGAUAGCCUUUCGAAAGAAAGAUUAAUACCUGAUGGUAUGAUGAGAUUGCAUGAUAGCAUCAUUAAAGAUUUAUCGGUGUACGAUGGGGAUGCGUUCCAUUAGGUAGUAGGCGGGGUAACGGCCCACCUAGCCAACGAUGGAUAGGGGUUCUGAGAGGAAGGUCCCCCACAUUGGAACUGAGACACGGUCCAAACUCCUACGGGAGGCAGCAGUGAGGAAUAUUGGUCAAUGGACGAGAGUCUGAACCAGCCAAGUAGCGUGAAGGAUGAAGGUCCUACGGAUUGUAAACUUCUUUUAUAAGGGAAUAAACCCUCCCACGUGUGGGAGCUUGUAUGUACCUUAUGAAUAAGCAUCGGCUAACUCCGUGCCAGCAGCCGCGGUAAUACGGAGGAUGCGAGCGUUAUCCGGAUUUAUUGGGUUUAAAGGGAGCGCAGACGGGUCGUUAAGUCAGCUGUGAAAGUUUGGGGCUCAACCUUAAAAUUGCAGUUGAUACUGGCGUCCUUGAGUGCGGUUGAGGUGUGCGGAAUUCGUGGUGUAGCGGUGAAAUGCUUAGAUAUCACGAAGAACUCCGAUUGCGAAGGCAGCACACUAAUCCGUAACUGACGUUCAUGCUCGAAAGUGUGGGUAUCAAACAGGAUUAGAUACCCUGGUAGUCCACACGGUAAACGAUGGAUACUCGCUGUUGGCGAUAUACUGUCAGCGGCUUAGCGAAAGCGUUAAGUAUCCCACCUGGGGAGUACGCCGGCAACGGUGAAACUCAAAGGAAUUGACGGAAG
rnacentral:rRNA from 1 species